AGAGCUAUAGCUCAAUGGUAGAACACAUGCUUUGCAUGCAAAUAUUCCAGGUUUAAUUCCUGGCACCUCCA